rnacentral:rRNA from 1 species
GGAUAACUUACCCUUAGGACUGGGAUAACUCUGGGAAACUGGGGAUAAUACUGGAUAUUAGGCUAUGCCUGGAAUGGUUUGCCUUUGAAAUGUUUUUUCGCCUAAGGAUAGGUCUGCGGCUGAUUAGGUCGUUGGUGGGGUAAUGGCCCACCAAGCCGAUGAUCGGUACGGGUUGUGAGAGCAAGGGCCCGGAGAUGGAACCUGAGACAAGGUUCCAGACCCUACGGGGUGCAGCAGGCGCGAAACCUCCGCAAUGUACGAAAGUGCGACGGGGGGAUCCCAAGUGUUAUGCUUUUUUGUAUGACUUUUCAUUAGUGUAAAAAGCUUUUAGAAUAAGAGCUGGGCAAGACCGGUGCCAGCCGCCGCGGUAACACCGGCAGCUCGAGUGGUAGCUGUUUUUAUUGGGCCUAAAGCGUUCGUAGCCGGUUUGAUAAGUCUUUGGUGAAAGCUUGUAGCUUAACUAUAAGAAUUGCUGGAGAUACUAUUAGACUUGAAGUCGGGAGAGGUUAGAGGUACUACCGGGGUAGGGGUGAAAUCCUAUAAUCCUGGGAGGACCACCUGUG